AACAACAUCCUGGUGCUGCCUGAGU
rnacentral:miRNA from 2 species